ensembl:lncRNA novel transcript, antisense to MARCH10
AAUAGCCAUUACUUUAAUAAAUUCAAACAAUAAACAUACUGAGAGGCAUUUUGUCAAGAAUGUACCCAACUGUUGCCUUCUCAAGGAGGGCAGCACCUGUUACACCUUGUGAAUUUCUCUUUCUGGUCAUUCUCUUCAUGGCCCCUCCCUCUUCCUACCUUCACUAUACUGUGACCCUGGAGAUGACACCCUAGUUGCGGGAUGAGAAUUGUCAACAUCAGAGCAUGUGUGUUUCCUGCACUUGGAAUCUCCUCUGUUAGAAGCUCUCUUGGCAAAACCGACUGAUCUACUAAAAAGCCUGCUGCUGUGGCCUUGCCUCUCUUUAGUUUCCUCUGCCCUCUCUUCUCCAGGCCGAAUUAAUUGUCAGAGUUGCAAUGUAUAUUAAUUUAAGCUUGAAUUAUACAUAUUUUUUUCCUAUUGUAGGUAGUUGUUUGUGGUUUUGAGCCUGUUUCUCCUGCUGAUCAUUGAGAACCCUGAGAGUGACACUCUAGCCUCCGGGCUCAUCACAGCAGCCAAGUGGUCACCUGCAGGAAGUGGAAUCCUAGAUUCUGGGGAGAGAGAUGCAGCUUCACUCCAACUUGCUUGGGAAGGGACAACAUCUGUCCCACAGUUAAUCUUCUUUUCAAAAACUAUGCCACAUAGAUAGUAAGUCAUCAUAAUAAACACUGGACUCUGUUUGUUUUAAUAAUUUAAGCAAGAAAAACCAAAGAACACUAGGCAGUAACCAUAAUAAGUUAAACAAAACAAACAAAAAACACCCAAUCAUAGAGAAACCCAGGUAAUCCUAAAGGGAGUCGGCUGGAAAGUGUAACGAAGUUCAGCUAAACGUGUGCCUUUGUUGUUCCAAUCCUUUUACAAGGACUUCAAAUGGGAGCUUGUGUUUGGAAAGAGCACUGGCGUGGAGUGUUGUUUCCGAAAGGGGCAGAUGUCUGUGCCGUCCUAACCUACUGGUAUUAAAGGCAAAAGAAGAAAAUGCUGAUGGGCUGAAAGUGGAGGAGGCAGUGUUAGCAAAUGCACCAGGACCAAGGCAGAUUUUGUGGGAUGAACAGAAUUCUUGUGGGCUGAGUGUUUUUUGAAAAUUCUCUCCAAGAAUGCAUACGACUUAAAUAUUUCUUUACCAAAAGGGGAGGAAGAAUAGAUUGGUUUGCAAAGUUGAAAAAAAUUUUUUCCCUCUAGUUCCUUGUUCCUCUUUUUACAGAGGAGCAGAACAAACCAGUGGCAAGGCAGGUACUUAAACUUUUAUCUUGACAGAGCCAAGCAAUCUUUCUACGUAAAUCAAACAUGAAUCCUCUCAAAGUUAUAGCUUUGCUGAGAAGGAACACAGGGGCAGAGCAAAUAUCCAGACUCACAGUCGUAGAAGCAGCAAGAACCUUUGCCUUAUUCCCUGCAA